rnacentral:rRNA from 1 species
CGGGGGCUUCACCGCCUACCAAUUCCUGACAAACUCCGAAUGCUAUAAAAUGUUUUAGAGCAGUGAGGGCAUGGGUGCUAAGGUCCAUGUCCGAGAGGGAAAGAACCCGGACCAUCAGCUAAGGUCCCCAAGUGUAUGCUAAGUUGAUAAAACGCGGUAAAAUUGCAUUGACAGCCAGGAUGUUGGCUUGGAAGCAGCCAUUCAUUUAAAGAGUGCGUAACAGCUCACUGGUCGAGCGAUUUUGCAUGGAUAAUAAUCGGGCAUAAGUAUACCACCGAAGCUAUGGAUUUGUGAAUAACAAGUGGUAGGGGAGCAUUCUAUGUGCACUGAAGGUGAACUGUAAGGUUUGCUGGAGCGCAUAGAAAAGAAAAUGUAGGCAUAAGUAACGAUAAGCGGUGCGAGAAACACCGCCGCCGAAAGACUAAGGUUUCCCCAGCUAUGCUAAUCAGCUGGGGGUCAGUCGGGGCCUAACACGAACCCGAAGGGGGUAGUGGAUGGACAAUCAGUUAAUAUUCUGAUACCUGCCCGCGCUAAAAGCGACGGGGUUGUGGCGUUGGUGCGCACUGACGGAAUAGUGCGUUGAAGUAGGGGAGACCCUAUGAUAGUACCAGGAUUCUUCGGAAGAAUGGAUAAUCCAGCUUAACAACCUCCAAGAAAAGCGAGCGAGGCAGCCCGUACCGUAAACCGACACAGGUAGUUGGGAUGAGUAUUCUAAGGCGCUCGAGAGAUUCAUGGCUAAGGAACUAGGCAAAAUAGACCCGUAACUUCGGGAGAAGGGUCGCCCACAGCAAUGUGGGCCGCAGUGAAAAGGUCCAGGCGACUGUUUAUCAAAAACACAGGACUCUGCUAAAUCGAAAGAUGAUGUAUAGGGUCUGACACCUGCCCGGUGCUGGAAGGUUAAGAGGAGAUGUUAUCGCAAGAGAAGCAUUGAAUUGAAGCCCCAGUAAACGGCGGCCGUAACUAUAACGGUCCUAAGGUAGCGAAAUUCCUUGUCGGGUAAGUUCCGACCUGCACGAAUGGUGUAACGAUCUGGACACUGUCUCAGCCAUGAGCUCGGUGAAAUUGUAGUAACGGUGAAGAUGCCGUUUACCCGCAGUGGGACGAAAAGACCCCGUGCACCUUUACUAUAGCUUCGUAUUGACCCUGGGUAAGUAAUGUGUAGGAUAGCUAGGAGACUUUGAAGCGGCGUCGCCAGGCGUUGUGGAGUCAUUGUUGAAAUACUAGCCUUUGCUUACUUGGGGCCUAACUCUUGUAAAAGAGGACAGUGCGUGGUGGGUAGUUUGACUGGGGUGGUCGCCUCCAAAAGAGUAACGGAGGCUUCUA